GGCCCUGGGCAGGCGGCCUUGCAGCCUCCGGUCCCGUCAGAUGGCCGGGGAGGGGUCUCCAUCGAGGACGCCCAGGGCUGAGGGACAGCGGGUGACCUGGAUGGCCGCUCCCGUGUGGGGUGGGCGCCCUGGCGGCCUGUUUCCAGCUUGCUCGCAACACAGCACGCAGGGCAGCGGGAAGAACUGGCUCCAGCUCAUGUUUGUUGGAAAAUCGAGUAGGAAACGAACAGCAGCCAGGAGAAAACCCGGCAGAGGGGGUGCGGGCUGGCAGGUGCCCGGGCAUGCUUGUCACACAGCAGAGCUGGGCCCUCAAGCUACUCUGGGGGUGAUGACACGGCAGAGAACCCACAGUAACAAACGCUCACGGGCACAGACGGAGGGAACGCCAGGGCAGCUCUGAUGCGACCCUAGCCUGGAAACUUGCAUAUGUUGCAAGUGCAGCCCUAAAGAGCAGAGAAAGAAAGAGAAAGAAAGAAACGUGUUUUGGAGCACAUGCUAAAAAAAAGUGAAAACAGCCGUCGGAGCCGUCUGCCGUCCCGUCAGAGUCCCCAGAAUGAGGACAGGGUGGGAGGGGGUGAGGUCAAAGCAGUGCUGGUUAAGGGAAAAUGAUUCUAUUAUAGAUUGGAACCUCUGAGAAAUGGAGAAGAGAAAAAGCAAGGUGAGUUAAUCUGAUGGAGAAUGAAGUGGGAGUUUAGAUCAGCAGAGCAAGGACUUCCAAAAAGCGCCCCCCAUGAGGGGAACACUGGAGAAAGGAAGAAAGAACACCAUCAAAAUCAACUUUUCCAGAAUUCCAGAAACUAACCUCCGCUUGCUAAAAUCAAGGAAUGAAUAGUCAAGGAAAAACAGCUAAUAAAGCUCAGGAACGAGCUUUUGACAUGUUCCUGUGUUUCCAUUCCUCUGUCUACACUCCAAGAUUAGCCUUAAAAACCAGCAGCCCAGCAGCCACCAGGGCUCGGCCUGAGGGUGGAGUUCCCCAGGUGAGUCCCAUCUCUGGGGUAUCUGACCUGUCUGGCAGCUCCUUGGAAAGCCCCAUUUGUAGGGCUGGUCAUUGUCUGGCCUGACUUAAGGUCCACUCGUUGGGAAAAGCCCAGAGCGUUUGUCAGAAACCAUCAGCGCUGAGUGUUUAACAUCACAGCUGCCAGAGGUGUGAUAAGCAGGAGGGACAAAAAGGUUAAAAAGAUCUGGGGCAUAAAACACCCAUGAGCACACUUAGACACUCUGACACUUCCCUGGGCACGAAGGCCAUUCGCGUCUGCAGGGCUGUGCACACGCCCAGGGACCGAGACGUCCUGCUUUCUCAGGUUUUGCCAACCCUGACCCUUGUGGAAGCAGGCAGCGACGGGUAAGGCAGAGCGGUCACCUGCGGGACCUUGAAGGGUCUCUGGACCCAGGUUCCUAAGGAAAUCUCUGUGCACUCGGCUGAGCAACGAGCUGCCAGCAGAGACUUCACCAUCCACACAUACCAGGGAGCUCAAAGAUGAGUUCAGGAGAGUCAGUAAACACGGCACCAAGAGCAACCAGCAACAGAAACCAGAGUCUGGGGACUAGGAAAUGGAUUUCCAGAGUUACACAUUAUAUUACUUAAAUUAUAUGACAUUACAUUAUGUUACUUAAAAUGGCUAUUUUUGGAGUUCCCAUCAAACGAAUCGAAUCUGACUAGGAACCAUGAGGUUGCGGGUUUGGUCCCUGGCCUCGCUCAGUGGGUUAAGGAUCCAGCGUUGCCGUGAGCUGUGGUGUAGGUCGCAGACACGGCUCGGGUCCUGCAUUGCUGCGGCUGUGGUGUAGGCCAGCAGCUACAGCUUUGAUGGGACCCCUAGCCUGGGAACCUCCAUAUGCCAUGGGUGUGGCCCUGAAAGGCAAAAAAAAAAAAAAGUCUACUUUUGAACAGAAAAUCAGAAGACAUGCAAAGGAAAUGUCACACACACUGGGUACCCGUUAUCGCUGUUGUCUUUUUAGGGCCGCACGCACGGCAUAUGCAGUGUCCCAGGCUAGGGGUCUAACUGGAUCUGUAGCCGCCAGUCCACACCACAGCCAGAGCAACGCCAGAUCCGAGCUGCACCUGUGACCUGUGCCACAGCUCACGGCAAUGCCAGAUCCUCAGUCCACGGAGCGAGGCCAGGGAUCAAACCCAUGAACUCACGGAUACUAGCAGCGUUCAUUACUGCUGAGCCACAACAGGAACUCCAUAGAUAAGCCUUCAAGUCAGCUUUGGUAAAUUGUGUUCAAAGAACGAAACGAAAUCGCGAGUUAAUUGCAAUAAAUGGAAUUCUAAGGAAUUAAGACACGGGUGGACUCUCACCAGGCAGAGCACCAGGGAAGAGAGAGAUUGUAAAAAGCAAAUGCAGCAGUUCCCACUGUGGCUCAGGGGUUAGGAACCUGACUAGCAUCCAUGAGGACACAGGUUCACUCCCUGGCCUCACUCAGGGAGUUAAGGAUCCGGCGAUGCUACGAGUGCAGUGGAGCUCGUGGGCUCUUGGGGGCUGAGGUGUAGGCGGGCAGCUGCAGCUCUGAUUCGACCCCUGGCCUGGGAACCUCCAUGUGCUGCAGGUGCGGCCCUAAAAUAAACUAAAUGCACACACACAUGCAGAAAAGGAAAAUGGAAAUUCUGUUGUUGAAAGUACAUGAAUUUCAGUGGGCAGAAGAAUCAGCAAACUUGAAGAUAAUCAAAUCUG
rnacentral:lncRNA from 1 species